AUCAGUUUGCCCCGAGGAAUUUGGACAGAGGGUGGAGGUGACAGAGCAGCACCGUAUGGAAGAGCCUCACCUCUACUGGACCUCUCUUUUUUGCCCAGCUGCUUCUCACAGGCUCACAGCUAUCUGGUGAACAGGAGUGACAGUAGAGGUGAGACUCUGGGAAGGCAGCUUGAUAGAAUCUGGGUCCAGCUCAACUCUCACGGCCAAAGAAAAGCAGCUGGAGGUCAUUGCUAAGGAGAGGCUUAAGAGAAAGAAGCAGUGUGGACCAGUCAUGAAAAAAAUGCCCAAGACCUGAAUUCAAAGGACAAGUCCAGUUGCUGAUAUGUGUUCCCUGUUUCAGUGGAUGGAGGCCUUUUUCUUCUGCAGAUUAGUACUUUGCAAGACCAUCCUUUCACCUAAGCUCUGUGAAGCCUUUCAGAGUUAAAAAGAAAUCGUACAUGUACAAGUAUUGCUGUAAUACUUAAGUACUAUCAGCUUGACUUUUUCUCUCGAGAAUUUACCUAUCAUCAAGCACCUGGGAAUUACAGUUGGCAAUGGAAACGGUACUCAGGGCUAAUUUGCUGGUUAAUGUUACUGUGAGUUAUAUGCUGAGCAAGACAUGCUUGCAGGAGGCUGUGUGAAUCGUUUGGGUUUACACUCAAAGCCAUCUUGAAAAACAGAGAGAGUUACUGACAUUUGUGUCUGGCUAAUCUUUACUCAUAUUGAACCUUGAAAGUCAAAUAUAGGGAAGGAAGAAGCAG